GAGUUUUAGUCGUAUAGACUCAAAUAACUAGUAAGUUCGGAUAACUCCGACUUAUCCAAAAUAACAUAAAACUUCUGAGUACGCAGCGGAAUAAGGUUCUGAUUACAUGUAUGAAGACAUGUAACCCUAGAGUUCAUUAAUACAUAAUAAAACAAAAGAGUCCCGCUCGUCACUUCAUCACCAUCGGCAGCUGCUCAACCUGC
rnacentral:lncRNA from 1 species